rnacentral:rRNA from 1 species
CAGUAGCCACGGUAAAACGUAGGUGGCAAGCGUUGUCCGGAAUUAUUGGGCGUAAAGGGCUCGCAGGCGGUUUCUUAAGUCUGAUGUGAAAGCCCUCGGCUCAACCGGGGAGGGUCAUUGGAAACUGGGAAACUUGAGUGCAGAAGAGGAGAGUGGAAUUCCACGUGUAGCGGUGAAAUGCGUAGAGAUGUGGAGGAACACCAGUGGCGAAGGCGACUCUCUGGUCUGUAACUGACGCUGAGGAGCGAAAGCGUGGGGAGCGAACAGGAUUAGAUACCCCCGUAGUCCCUGUCUCUAUACA